UUGAGCUGUGUGAUGGGAAACUAUCAUGCGCAGUUCUGAUGGGGGAAAGGGGCUGAAAAGCCCCCGACCUACCAGAC
rnacentral:ncRNA from 3 species